AUUUUUGGUAUCAUCAAGGCUUAAGAUACAAUGUAAGAUGUCUAACCCUAAAACUGUCUCUUUACCAGUGUCCCGUCCUGGUUCUGAAUGAAACAAGCAUUUGUGCGGAAGUUAACAGCACUUUGCUGCAGCAGUACCUGGACCGGGGCAAGAUAAACCAAAGUGUUUGUGACUUCAGCGUCGAGGAAUACGCCUGCGCAUCGGUAAACUUUCUCCAUACACAAACCUUCAAACGAUCCUACACUCCUUGUGCUCUGAUGUCUAACCGCUACGGUUCUUGUAGCUGCCGGACCUGGCUGCGGAGGACCUGGCAGCCGUGUUGACGUGCAAUAACUCCCGUGCGUCGCGGGCCCCCCUGGCCGUCUGGGAGCUCCUCUUCUCCGAGACCACCAAGGUUCUGGGGCCUGCUCUGGAUCUCCUGGCCCACAUGACCUUCCACCCCAGCUAUCCCGCCGCCUCCCUGAUCCUGGAGGCCAUCAACAACGUCCGGCUGCAAAUGCUCCCCCCGGAAAUCUAUGAGAGCGAGGCCUUCAUCCGCCUGUGGUUUGGCCAGAGACUCCGCCCCUUCCUGUCGGCCAUCUCCCCCGACACGUUGUCCUGUCUCAGCACCAAGAACCUCAGCUGCAGCACCUACCAGGCCCUUGUUCAGAUCUUCAGCCAACACCAGCCGUCCAUGGAGCUCGAGACCCAGGUCAAUGUCAACGUCUUUUUCAUCAGGCCCUUCCUCACCCGGAACCACACUGAAGAUCCAAACUGUUCAGAUAACACAACCAGUGGACAAUGGCUGCAGAACAACUUUGGGGGAUUCUCUGCGCUGAUCUCUGUCAGCGGCCUGCAGAUGCUGAAUGCAGACUUCGCCCCGCUGGAAGCCCUACCCUAUCUGACAGUGAGACAGCUCUCAGAGGUGUCCUCCACCCCAGGACUGCUAACCACGCCCGACCAGGUUAACAUGGUGUUGGGCAAUGUCCCCAGCUCUCAGCUGGACGCCUUCUUUGACUACGUCUCACCUGCAAUAAUGGCAAGUUAGCAUCAUAAACCAUGCACAAGUUAGAACUAAACCAUUGUACUGUA
rnacentral:lncRNA from 1 species